UCACACUGGAGAGAAGCCCUUUGAAUGC
rnacentral:piRNA from 1 species